rnacentral:lncRNA from 1 species
UUUUGGGAAGGAGCCCAAUAAAUCCGUGCGGGCUUGAGUGAUAAGCCCAAAGCGGACAAUAUCAUACUAAUGGAAAGUUGGCUUGGUUAUAGAGAUUCCAACAGUGUAUUCAUUAUUUUAAGUGAUUUGUGUAAAAUUUAUAAAUCUUAUGUUAUUUUAUUCAAUCAUGGAUAUCAAAAAAUUCAAUGAAAUCUUGUGUUAUUGAACUAAUGAUUUAAAAGUUCACCAUAAAAUUCAUUGUUAUUGAAAAUAAUUUGUGGAUUUGAAUUUU